rnacentral:lncRNA from 1 species
GAAAGGAGUUGAUGAAUUCCCCUACUGUGUGCACUUGGUGUCUUGGGAGAAGGAGAAUGUGUCCAGCGAGGCUCUCGAGGCUGCUCGUAUUGCCUGCAACAAGUACAUGACCAAGUACGCAGGAAAGGAUGCGUUCCAUCUGCGUGUGCGUGUGCACCCCUUCCACGUGCUUCGUAUCAACAAGAUGCUUUCGUGUGCUGGAGCUGAUAGGCUCCAGACAGGUAUGAGGGGAGCUUUCGGUAAGCCCCAGGGUGUAUGUGCUCGUGUUGCCAUCGGACAGGUGUUGCUGUCCGUGCGUUGCAAGGACCAGAACGGAGUUCACGCUCAGGAGGCCCUUCGUCGUGCGAAGUUCAAAUUCCCUGGCCGUCAAAAGAUUAUCGUGAGCAGGAAAUGGUGAGUAUUUUUUCAUCCGUUCAGGAUGAUGGUUCUUUGUUAGCGUAACACAUGAUAUGAGCAUCAAGUAAUGAGUUUUUUCAUUAUUUGGGAUGUAGUAGCCGAAAUUUCUCACUCGUACUUGAUGUAACAUGCAGGGGAUUCACUAAGUUCGCCAGGGUUGACUACGUGAAGUGGAAGGAAGAAAACCGUUUGGUGAAUGACGGUGUCACCGCCAAGGUAUACAAUGCUUCGCUGAUGUGCAUAUGAGCUGUACAUGCUUUGCUUGAAUCAGUGCGGAAUUUGUGCUUUUUCUGAAUUUCCUCUCAUACAGUUUUUCCGAGAAGUUUCAAUUUUUUUGCGUUUCAUCUAACCUGUGCUUUAUUUCUAACUCUUAUGCUCAUUUUAAUCCACUUUAUGUUGCCUGAAAUGCAGCUUCUUGGAUGCCACGGACCCUUGGCCAAUCGCUCUGCCGGAAGAGCAUUCAUUGACGCUGCUGUUGCCACUCACUAGCCAGGUUCACUUAUGUCCUGCUUGUAGAGUUCAAUGUAUUCAGCCUUGACUAUCAAUGAAUGGAUUGUUUCAAUCCAAAUUGUGAUGGGAUUGAAGUAUUUUGUGGAGUAUGAAUGGCUGUUGCAUGUUGAACUAUCCGCUCUUGCACUAGCCUUUGAUAUUGUAAGUUUCCUAAUGUUCUUGGACUAAGUUUUUCGUACAUGUGAACUCUAAAUGCUAGAGAGUCUCGUGAAUGACAUAAAUCUUGUGCGCAUUUGCCUUGUAUUCCUAGCAACAAUCAGUAGCGGGUGUCUAGAUUUUGUGACAGUCUUGUGUGUUGUAAUAUUUUUCUUUACUCCAGAAAACCCAUUUAAUGCGUGGCUUGUUGUGUAUCUGAUGAACUACGGAAUGGUGGUUGGAUAUUAAUUUUGUGCAUGCGUAUACAAUUUUUUAAGAGCACUUUAGAAGGAUCUGCAUGGUGUUUAAGUGUAGAUUAACUUUUGGCAAUUACCAUAAUUCGAAUCGAGUUCCAGGUUAUUUUGAUCACCGAAUCGGGAUAUGUUAGUUUUCAUCUUUAGUUGUAAAUGUUAUGAAGAAACAAUGAAGAUAAAGCAUGUCGCUUUUUGAAUCAUUAUUUGUAUGUUACUCAAAUCUCUACGUUGAAAAAUGUGUUAAAUAAAUAUUGAGUUUGCACAUUCUGUAUAGAUUCUAUUGCAGAUGCGCUCAUCCUUAUCAUUCACCUAGAAACGUUAUGUUUGUGUUUAUCAUUCUAUCACGAAGUGCAUCAUAUCGAUAAACUGUACAAUGUAGUCUUUAAUUGUAAGUUUUACCGUUAUUUGAAUUGUAUGAAUUUCUGUCACAAUCGUCUUAUUCUCCGCAUGUAUCCUGUUUCGAAAAUCAUAACUAAAGGUAACAAUAAUCGUGGAUGUGAACUUUAAGUGAAAUAAUCGUUAUAUUUUUACUGUAAGAGAACCAGUCUAUAGCUACAAUCUUAUGUCGCCCAUAUCGUUAAUAUCUUGUUUUAUAUUUUGAUUUCCUAUAUGAAAAUCCACCACUUAUUUAGCUGAGAAGGAUCACCUCGUGGCAUAUUGUGCAAGAGUUCCGAACAUAUACAAUUGAUUUAAAUAACGAUAGGUUAUUGACAACGUUGGUGAGGUUGUUCUAACCUUUGUAUCAAAAGUUGUAAAAGUUGUUUGGGACAGGAGGAUGAACUGUAGCAUAAUUGUACGCAGAACAUACUUCAGCUUCUUUAUGAUAUUCUACAAUUACACGCUUUUGAAUAUGUUGAGCAGCUCUGCAAGCACCCACAACGAAUAGUGCCUAAUGUAGUGCACAAGCUUCCUCCAGGUGGGUCAGUUUCAGAGACUACCCUGUUAUUGCCAAGCCCUGUGGCUCCUUUGAAUCUGCAGCCUCUGCAGCCAUUAUACAACGCCUGCUGGAGGAGGAACCUUGUUGGUUGGGUACAUUGGAAUGCCUUGCUGUGGAGGAUAUGGUUGAGCAGGGUAUCCGUAAGCAGGGCCACCUUGUUGCUCCAUGGCACUUCGAGACCUGGCCCUCAGGCUGCCCCGUAUACAUGCAAUACAGCAGUAUAAAAUAAGAAGCGCACCGAGAAUGGACCCAACGAUGGAUGUCACCACUUGCCAUUUCGAAAACCGAUGCUUUACACCUGCACAUGGUAACGAAACAUCAGAUAUCGAUGGGUUGUUUAUGUUGAUGAAAAGGAAAAGCUGCCAUGCAAAACUUUUGCCUUGAAUGGUUAAAUGAUCGAAUGAUGCAAAGACUGACGGAAUGAACUGCUUACAUCCAGUGUGGCCUUCUCCAUAUCGUCCAUCUCCAGUAUAUCCGCGUUUGCAAUUGCAAUAGUACGAGGUGGCGGUGUCAAUGCAGAACGCAUUGAUGUCACAUAGUGCUCUCCCUGUCCUGCAUUCAUUUACAACUGCACAGGACAAUAUGCCAUGUGUUUAAUUGAACAAGAGUUUUGUGAACAAGUUCUUUAUAUCUGAUAGAGUAUCUUGAAUCCCAAACUUGCUUAUGAGGAAUUUAUCACUUUUUCAACCAAUAAAUUUAGUACUAGGUGUUUUCCCCAAGAUGUACAUUGAUCCAUGAUAAAUUUGAAAUGCAUUUACCCGCAUGUUAGGUCGGACAACCUGGAUGAACUGAAAAUUUUAGAGGAUAAUAACAGUAUUCCAUCGUACAGAAGCAUCAACACUUCCUGCGAUAACGAAAAGAAAAAAGAAAAAAGAAAGUACACGAGUGCCAUCAUUUACUUUGUGCUUCUGCGGCUUGGAACUGUAAGACUUCGCACAGAGUCAGCACAGUCAGGAGGACUAGUAUCUUCCGAGCCCAUCCUUCCAUUUCUUAAAUAUAUUUCCUACAUCAUCCGAAUAAAUGGAGAAUGAGAUAAACAGAAAACAAAAUUUCAGACGAAUCAGACAGCAACUAGUAAGUGAAGAGGGGAGGAAGGAGCGUUGUCAAUCUACGACAAAGAGGCUUGCAUUGACCUCACUGCUAUUAAUACUUCAAAAGAAAGAAUGCAACGUUGCCUAAAGAUCUUGCCAUGCCGGUCGAAGGGAAAACCGAGAAAAUAAACAUCAAUAACUGAACGAAAGUAGGAAGACAAAAAAAGAAACAAAUAAAAAAAUGAGAAAAAGGAAAAAAGGUGGUGAAGCAUUUGCAACCUGAAAACUAUUAGUGGCAUCACCAAUGUUUGAAGUCAACAGUGACAACUCCGAACCAGCUACUUACAAAGAAUACUUUCGCUUGAAAGAAAGAAUCGCUCGACUAGCAUGGAGAAUCUGUCGAACCCGAACCAACCGCGGUGAGGAAAAUCAAACCUACGCACACUACAAAACUACAAACCAAGGCUAAAGAAUUUCUCGAAACUUAACAGACACCAUGCGCUUCUUCACAAUCAAACUUCCGAUCCCGCUAGCUGAAUUUUCCAACCGUGACGAACCGUAAAAACACAGUUCUCUACAUCCCCGUCCCACUCCCAAACAUACAGCCAUGGAAGCAACGUCGACAGAUCGCGACUCCUUUCCUGACACUCAACACCAACAAGCUAAGAACUAAUCCCGAAGAUCCUCUCUGCAGACUUAGCAAAUCAACGUACAUCGCAGCGGGAAGCUUGAACCGAGAUGGAGCGUAGCGGGACAAACCAGUACUUUCCAGGCAGUGCAUUUACGUGACAAAACCAACCUCCGUGACACAUUGAACUCUUGCUAAGAGAGUUACAAGAUUCAGGUUAGCAAAGUAC